AGUCACUGACAUUAGAUACCCGGGUAGUCCAGGGUGUAAACGCUGCAGACUUGGUGUUGGAAGCCCUUUGGGGGCAUUCAGUGCCGGAGAGAAGUUGUUAAGUCUGCUACUUGGGAGUACGUCCGCAAGGAUGAAACUUAAAGGAAUUGGCGGGGGAGCACCGCAACGGGAGGAGCGUCGCGGUUUAAUUGGAUUCAACACCGUAAACUCACCAGGGAAGACUGUUACAUGAAGGCCGAGAUGAAGACUCUGCUAGAUUUUCAG
rnacentral:rRNA from 1 species